rnacentral:lncRNA from 1 species
CCUCCUUGUCUUCUACUUCCUGUUCUUUCUAUUAAUUUGCUUUCCUAUUUUUCUUUAAUAUCACCAUAUAAAUACAAGAUCUUUAUACAAUUUUGCUUGUUAUUAACUAGUUUUUCUUUUAUCUUUUUUAUUAUCAGAACAUAUUGUGAUAGAUCAAAGGAAAAGCCUCCCUCAGGAAGUGGCUCACAACACAACAAAAUUCUCAGAAUUCAUCAGAGCCAGAGGAGAGUUGAAUUUACACAGGAGUUAUUGUGCUCUGAUAAUAGAUCGAAUGCUUUUGAAGAUGAUAAGAAAACUCAAGGACUCGAUGCUUCCAUUUCUUUGAUGAUCCACUGACAAUCAUCUUCUAAUUCCCAAGUUUUUGUUGCCCUUUGCUUCAUCCGUAAAAGAAAGAAAAAAAAAAUGUAAUUCUUCUUCUCAUGCAUUCACCAAACUUCCCAUUUUUGUCUCUGGUGAGAAAUCAUUUUUGCAGUUAAGGCUGUAGAAAAUGCAAUAAACUUAUUAUUUGAAGUCUUCUUGUAGUCCAACUCAUGGUUCUCCUUUCCUGGACAGCAAAACGGAUCGGUCAAGGUGGAUUCGGAUGAUCCAUUUUUUUGUUUAUUUAAAUUUGUUAGUUAUAUUUUAAUUAUUUUGAGUUUUCCCUUUUAAAUAGUGUUUGAAAUUAAUUAUAAUAAUUAAAAAUAUUCUAAAAAUAAUAAUUCACAUUAAAAAUAAAUAAAACUUUUAUGUAAAUGUUGGAUCCAGAAGAGACCAAUAAUAAUUCUUUUAUAUAAAUUAUUUGAUUGACUUUAGAUUGGCUGCUAGUUUGAAAAAAGGGAUUUGAAUUCAGUAGUAAACAGCCAGAGAAAAUGUUCUCAAUAUAAAUUCGAUUAAUAUAAUAAAUAUGUGAAUUUGGUCUGAAUUUAAUUAAAAUUUACUUUAAAUUAUUAAGACUCAUCCUAAAUUUCAUUAUACCAACAAAAAUAAUAUUCUCUUUAAGAAAAUGCUCUUUCAACGUAGCUGUAGCCACUAAUAAGAGUAAUGAUAAUAUAUACAAUAUAUUUUCUUGUAAUUACCGUAUUUUCAACAAAAAUUCUAAUUUUUUCACAUAAAACAACUUCUUGUUCAUUUGCAUAUUAAAAAGAAAGUUCUCAAGUUGAGUUUCAAGUUCAAUUAAAACAAUUAAAGAAAAUUCACAUGUAUUCAUAUCAAAUACAGAGAAUGAGUUUUUAGAAUUAAGACAUACCAUACAUAAAAAUAAAUUGUAUUCACUUUAUUAAAACGAUUAUUAAGUUUUUGGAACUACAUAUCAAUAAUAGAGUAAAAUAGUUUAACAUAAAAUGAAAAUUUAUUAUCUUUUCGGUUUUUCUUCUUGAUCUCCUUCUCAUUAUGUAUAAUCGUCCAUAUCUGAUACAACUAUAUCAUAUUUACCACAAAAUUACACUAUUUUAAGUAGUAAAGAUUUCCGACCAUCCUUUCCUAUAAUUUGUAAGCGGCGUUUAGAACUUUCCUAUAAUUUGUAAGCGGCGUUUAAAAAUUUUAACUAACUGCAUAACAUUUACAAUUAUGUAUAAUCGUCCAUAUCUGAUACAACUAUAUCAUAUUUACCACAAAAUUACACUAUUUUAAGUAGUAAAAAUUUCCGAUCAUUCUCUCCUAUAAUUUAUAAGCAGAGUUUAGAACUUUUCUAUAAUUUAUAAGCGGCGUUUAAAAAUUUUAACUAACUGCUUAACAUUUACAAUAUCUUUGCAAAACUUGUGAUAAGACUAUUACCAUACUAAUUCAUCCAUAAAGCCGUAUCUGACCAAAGUUUAAACGGUUACCCAUUAAAAAAUAUUUAAAAUUUAUUUAAUUUUUUUAAUUUUAGUUAGAUAUAAAUUAUUACCCGUAAAAAAUAUAUUUAAUAUUUACAUAAUUUUUCUAAUCUUUAAGUAGAUAUAAACUAUUAUUCAUAAAAAUUAUAUUUAAUAUUUACAUCAUUUUUUAAAUUUUUAUUACACAAAAUUAUUAUUCAUAAAAAUAAUAUUUAAUAUUUACAAAAUUUUUAAUUUUGAGUAGAUUAAAUUAUUACCCAUAAAAAUAUUAUUUAAAAUUUAUACUAUUUUACUAAUUUUGAUUAGAUUCAAUUAUUAUCCAUAAAAAUAAUUUUUAAAAUUUAUACAAUUUUUUUAAUUUUAAGUAAACUAAAUUACUACCUAUAAUAAUAAUAGUAUUAAUAAUUAAGUGAAAUAAACAAUAAUAAAUUAACAAUAUAAUAAAAUAAAUAAAAAUAUAAAUUAAUUCUUAACAAUAUAAAAAAAAUAAGAGAGAAAGAUGGAUAAUGAAUAGUGGAUUUUAAAAAAAAUAAAACUUAUGAAAUAAAAUGAAAUUUGUUGAAUAAAAAUUGAAAGGCGAAAGAAAAUGAGAUGGUGGAGGCUGUUGUAAAAGUGAGAAAUAUAAAAAAAAAUUUAAAAAUUUCAGAAAACUCAUGGCUACCUUUGACUUCAUGUUGGACCCGUUGCUCGUUCUGAUUUAAAAACUAAAAAUAAUUAAAAUAGUAAAUAUAAAAUCAGUUCAAUAUACAUGGUUCAAUUUUUAAAAUAAAGAUUUUUUUCGAUCUGAAUAUAAUUCAAUUUAAGAUCUUAAAAACUGUAUACAAUCCUAAAACUCAUUGUGAAUGAUGGUUAGGCAUUGAAAAUAGACAAUGUAAACUUGAGUCAUAUAUUCAGAUCAGUUGAAAUAUUCAGCUACACGAAACAAUAAAAAAGGAAAGGCAGAUGGGAAUUGACUUGAGUCUUCUAGAGAAGCUAAUUCAUCAGCCUGUAAAAAAAUUAAAAUUACUUAGAAAAAAAAAUUAAGAGUAAAAAAAUCGAUAUUUUAUAUAUAAUAAAAAUUGAGUAUUCAGAUUUUUUAAAUUUAAGAAUCGGACCAAUUUUAUGUUCAAUAAAAGUAUUUAAAUUUUUAAUUUUGGUAAUUAAAUCAAAUUUAAAAGAAUUAUUGUUGAAACUCAUUAAAUUUUAUUUUUUUAAUGGAGGAUCAAUCUUCAUACUAAAAUUUUUUUAAAAAAUUAAAAAUUUGAAGAGCCAUGACCACCCCAAUGUGUAUGUGGGACUGUGGGUUCCCCCUUACCAACCUUAAGCCGCGUGAAAGAGUGUCUUCUACGUUGACGUGUGUGACCAUCUUUCACUUGUGUGACCAUCUUUCACUAAUGCCUCCGUCUCCUCUUCUUUCCAUUAAUUUACUUUAGGGAAUUUAUUAUUUUAUUUUUUAAUAUAUAAAGAAAAUCUCAUUCCAUUUCAAAAAAAAAAAAGUCAUUAGUUAUUUUUUUAUUAUAAAAAAAACAUUCAUCAGAUUUUAAAAGAAUUAAUUAAUUAAUUAUUAUAUUAAUUUUAACUAUUAUUUAAUUAUUUUAAUAUAUAAAAAUUUAUUAAUUAAUUUAUCAAUUUUAUAAAAAUAUUUACGAGUUAAUAUCUUUAUAUUAAAGAUAUUUUAAAUUUUUUUAUAAUAUUUAAUAAAAUUAAUAGAUAUACUAAUUAAUAAAUCUUUAACAUUUCAUAAAAAUUUUAAUUUAUUUUUAAAAUUAAAAAUUAAAAAUUAAUGGAUAUACUAACUAAUUAUUUUAAAAAAAAAUUAAAAAAUUAAAAAAAAAUUUAUAUUAAAAAUCCAAAUGAUAAUUUUUCUUUUUCUUUAAUAUGAUAAUAUCUUUUUAUUUUCCACUGCAUAUGCUAACUACUUUUAUUAUCAGAACAUAUUGUGAUAAAGAAAAGGGAAAACCUAACUCAUGAAGUGGAUCGCAACACAAAAAAAAAACCUCAGAAUCCAGAGUAGAAUUGACAUUUAACAGUUGUUAAUAUUUUCUUAUAGUAGAUUGAAUGCUGUUGAAGAUGAUAAUAAAGAAGAAGCAUCUCUGCCUCCAAAUUAUGUCCACAGAAUUUCUCAAGUCCCUACGAAAACUAUGGUGCUCUCUUGAAGAAGCUUCACUGCCAUUUGAGAAGCUUCAAUAAGUUUCUACAUAUGUUCUUUAAAUUAUCUAUUACAACCAAUUAUAAAGCUUCUGAUCUUCUUACAAUCGCCUGUUCUGAAAUAUAAAUAUACAUAUAAUUUGUGUUUUUAAUAUAACUAAAAAUGAAAGAGUUUUAAUUAAAAGUAUGAAGAUUUAGACUUGCUACGAAUUCAAAUAAGUUUAAAUUGAUUUAUUUUUUGAGUCGAUAAUAAUUUGGAUUUAUGGCAGGAACUAUCUAACAGUUGAUGGAUGAAAGUGAUGGCUUCUUUUNNNNNNNNNNNNNNNNNNNNNNNNNNNNNNNNNNNNNNNNNNNNNNNNNNNNNNNNNNNNNNNNNNNNNNNNNNNNNNNNNNNNNNNNNNNNNNNNNNNNNNNNNNNNNNNNNNNNNNNNNNNNNNNNNNNNNNNNNNNNNNNNNNNNNNNNNNNNNNNNAAAAAAAAAAAAAAUCAAAUAGUUUAUUAUUUCUUUCGAUUAUGACAGCUCACCAGAAUCCAUAAUAUUAUUUUUUUUAAUCUGCGAGCAAGUAUGUACCCACGUGAGUCAUAUGGUCAGCGUUGAAUUAUUCUACUACAGGAAAAUAAAAUAAAAAAGAAGCUGGGAGUUGACUCAAGUCUUCUUUCUACUGAAGCUCAUAUAUGUGCCUAUAAAUAUUUCUUCUGGAUUCAGUUACUAAUCACACACUGCAAUCCAAACUCAGAGCUUCUGUAGAAAACAAGAGAAAAGUUUCACUCUUUCUUCCUCAUGGCUCUAUUGGGUAGCAGUUUCUUGCCAAAGCAGAUCAUGCUCCAUUUGCCUAACAAAGUCCUUAAGCCAUUUCAAAGAAAAUAUUCUGUGAACAUGUGGGUGACCAUUUUCCACUUAUUUUCUUCUUUCUAUUAAUUUACUUUCCAAUUUUUCUUUAAUAUCACCAUAGAUAUACAAGAUAUUUAUACGUUUUUGCUUGUUAUAUAUUAACCAGUUUUUUCUUUGUCUGUUAUUAUCAGAAUAUAUUGUGAUAGAUCAAAGGGAAAACCCAGCUCAGGAAGUGGUUCACAACAUAACAGAGUUCUCAGAAUUCAGAGUCAGAAGAGAGUUGAAUUUAAGCAAGAGUUAAUAUGGUCUGGUAGUAGGUCGAAUGCUUUUGAAGAUGAUAAGAAAACUCAAGUAUUCGAUGCUGCCAUUUCUUUGAUGAUCCACUGACAAUCAUCUUCUAAUUCCCAAGUUUUUGUUGCCCUUUGCUUCAUCUGUAAAAGAAAGGAAAAAUGUAAUUCUUCUUCUCAUGUGUUCACCAAAUUUCCCAUUUUUGUUUCUGGUGAGAAAUCAUUUUUGCUGUUAAAACUGUAUUGGAAACUUUUAUGCAUCUCUGUAAUAUUCACACUAUAUUUAAAUUUUUAUUAUUUAUAUAUAACUCAAAAUUUAAAAUUUUUUUAUUAAUGUUAAAUUAAUUUAAAUAAUGAAAUAAUUAUUUACUUAAUUUAUAAUUCACUAUAAAUUUAAAUUCAAUUAUAAUAUUAUCAUCCACUUAUAAAUUUAAACAUAUACCAAUUUUAAAAUUUAUUAACUUUAAAUUAAUUUAAAUAAUAAAAUUAUUAUUUAUUUAAAUUUUAAUUAUAUACUUAGAUAAAUGUAGAUUUUACAUAUUAUAUAUUUAUAAUUAAAAAUUUUAAAUGUUAAGAUUUAUAUUAAAUUCAAUAAAUUAUUUUUAUUAUAAUAAAUAAUUUAAUUCUCCUAAAUUUAAAACUAAUAACAUUAAAAAUUAAUUUCACUUAAUACAGUAAACUUAUAAUAACUGUUAGUUAUACCUAUAUUAAUAUUUAUAUUAUUUUAAUUUAUUCAUAAAAUAUAUUUUUUUAAUUUUUAUUAUAAAUUAUAGAUUAUUAGUCAUUAUAAUAUAUAUAAAAAUAGCCACAAUAAUAAUGAGAUAAAUUAUUGUCAUAUAAUAAUGAGAUAUAUCAAUGUCAUAAAAUUUUAAUUACAAGGGAUUAUCUCAAUUUUUUUCAAGUUGGCGUCUGACGAUCCGCUUUUAUUAUUCAUUCAAUAUAUAUAUAUUUUAAUUAAAAAUAGAAAAAAAUAUAAAAAAAAUGAUGAAUUUUAAUAGUUUUUUAUAAGACGUACAGAAUGAAUUUUAGUAAAUUUUUAUGGGGAUAAAGGAUGAGUCUUACUGUAGUUAAACUAUAAUUUAAUUAGUUAUUAAUUACUCAUUUUAUUAUUUUUUUUAAAUUACUUAUUAUCAUAAUAAAUUUUAUAAUUGUUUCUUUAAUAAUCUUAUUUAAAAAAUUAUAAUUUUUAAUUAUAUAUAUAUAUAUGAAUGAAAACCUUUAUUUUUUAAGUUUAAAAUUAUUAACUAAUUUUUUAAUAUUGUGGUAAUUAUUUUUAUUAUAUAUAUAAUAUCUAAAUUAUAAUUUUUAAUUUUAUAUAUAUAUAUGAAUGAAAACCUAUAUUGUUAUGUGUAAUGAUUUUAUUAUUUAAUUUAAAGUUAAAUUUAUUAAAAAAUCAAUAUACAAAAAAGAUUAAGAUAAUUAUUAUUAAAAUAUAUUUAAAUAUUAAUUAAUUACUAAAUAAAAUUAAUUAAACUCAAAAAUUAAAAAAUUAAAAUCUAAUAAUUUAAUAUUGUGAAAUUAUUUUAUUAUUUUUAUUAUUUUAAUAAUUUUAUUAAUAUUUAAAUUUAUUAUUUUAAUAAUUUUAUUAAUAUUUCAAUUUAUUAUUUUAAUAAUUUUAUCUUAAAAUUUUUUAUUUUUUUAUUAAAAUUUGAAUACUAUAAAGAAUAAUUAAGUUUUAAUAAUUAUCUAUCUAACUACCAAAUAAAAUUAAUUAAAAUAAAAAAUAAAAAAUUUAAACUUCCAUUAAUGUUAGAUAUAUAUAAUUUUAGAUGAAAAAUAUUUAAAAUUAUUUUAGAUGAUAUUUGAAAUAAUUUAUUAAUUUAAAAUUAUUUAAAUAAUAAAAUCAUUAUGUAUUUUUAAAUUUAAAAUAUAAUCAAUAAAUAAACAAUAUAAGAAUUAUAUGUGAAAUGAAAAAUAAAAAAAUAUAUAAAAAUUUAUUAUUAAUAAUAAUUCAAUUAAAUCAAUAUUAAAAUUAUUAGUUUAUUUCUAAAUACAAUAUAUUAUACAAAAUUUUGAUUUUUAAUAUAAACUACUUAUUUUUAUAUUUUUAUAUACAAAUUUUUAAAUUCAUUUUUUAAAAAAAAUAUAAUUUAACUUACAAUAAAAUUUUAAAAGUUAAAAAUUACCUUCAAUUAAUUUAAAUUUAAAUAGACUAAUAAUAUAAUUAAAUAAUUUAAAUAGACUAAUAAUUAAUACUUUAGUGUUUAAAUAUGAAAAGAAUGUGAAAAAUAAAUUUUAAAGAACAUUUUAUGUGAAAUAAAUGAAAUUAAAGAAAGAAAAAGAAGCCUUUUCAAAUGCGUGUUUCUCAUUGAUGGAGGCAUUUCUAUAAGAAUAUUCAAAAUAGACAUGCACGCGUCCGUUUGUAAUUAUUGGAAUUUGUUAGUCAACAUCCAUAAUAUGCACUUUAAUUUAUCAACUUAACAAAAAUUGAACAUUCCUUUGAUUAUGACAGCCCACCAGAAUCCACUUUAUUAUUACUCAAAAGAUUUACUAUUUAAUUUUUAAAUAUUAUUUUUUUAAAUAAAAUAAUUAUUUUAUCUAAUUUCAUUUAUUUUUACUAUUAAAAAUAUUUUAAAAGAUUAAAUUAUUUUUUUUUUAUUUUUUUAAUUUUUAAAAAUUAAAUUAUUAAUGAGAAAAAAAUAAAAAAAUUAAAAAUUAAAAAUUAAAAUUGAGUUAUUAAGGAAGAAAAAGAAAUAGUAAAGAAAUUAAAUUUUAAAAAUUAGAUUAUUGUGGAAGAAGAUGAUGUAAAAAAAUUAAAUUUUAAAAAUUGAAUUAUUGAAAAGGAGAAAGAAAAAAGAAAUUCGGUAAUUCAAAGUAAAAUUAGAUUUAAAAAUUUUUCUUCUUAUUUUUUAUUUGUUUUUAUAAUAAUAUGUAAGAACUGUUUUAUUGAUGUCAUUUAUUUUUAUAAUUAUAUGUAAGAACUGUUUUUAUAAUAACACGUGAAAACUGUUUUGUUGAUGAAAAAGAAAUUUUUUUAAAAAAUAUAAAAAUUAAUUUAUUAAUAAUAAUAAUAUUUAAAAACUAAAUAAUAAAUCUUUCUAUUAUUAUUUUUUAUCAGCAAUCAAGUACUAUCCCACGUGUCAUAAUAUUCAGCAUUGAAGUAUUCUACUCCAGGAAAAUAAAAUAAAACGCAGGGAAUUGACUCAAAGUCUUCUAAUGGAGCUUCAUGAGCCUAUAAAUAUUUAUUCUGGAUUCAGUUUCUUAUCACACAAACACUGCAAUCUAAACUCAGAGCUUAUAGGAAACAAAAAGAGAACUUUCACUCUUAAUUUCUUCCUCAUGGCUCUAUUGGGUAGCAGUUUCUUGCCGCAGCCAACCACGCUCCAUAUACACACCAACGUCCUUAAGCUACUUGAAAGAAAAUCUUCUGUGAACAUGUGAGUGACCAUCUUCCACUGUUGCCUCCUUAUCUUCUUCUUCUUCCUGUUCUUUCUAUUAAUUUACUUUCCAAUUUUUCUUUAAUAUCACCAUAUAUAUUUACACGUUUUUGCUUGUUUAUUAACUAAUUUUUCCUUAAUCUUUUUUAUAAUCAGAAUAUAUUGUGAUAAAUCAAAGGGAAAACCCAGCUCAGGAAGUGGUUCACAACACAACAGAGUUCUCAGAAUUCAGAGCCAGAUGAGAGUUGAAUUUAAACAGGAGCUAUUGUGCUCUGGUAGGAGGUCGAAUGCUUUUGAAGAUGAUAAGAAAACUCAAGUACUCGAUGCUGCCAUUUCUAUGAUGAUCCACUGAUGCUCCUGUUUUGGAGCUUCUGUUCCCUGCUGGGUUCGGGGAUUUGUGUUUUUGUUGGGUUUAUUCCUUGCAUGGGGAUGGCUUACUAUUUUGGUUUGAUUUCACUUUUUGAUACAAGUCUCAAUAGAAGUC